rnacentral:lncRNA from 1 species
GUGAAUUAUGUGGAGGUGAAGAGAGUGAGCGAGAGAGAGCAAGAGGAAGGAAAGAAACAGAGAUGAUGAGAAUAAAGAAGAAGAAGUGUGCCAUUAUAUUAUUCUUUGGUGUAAAGAAAAUGAAAAAUGGAAUGCAAGAAGUGAGAGCUAGGAUUGGAUAUAAGUAGGAGGAGGAGGAGGAGGAGGAGAAGGAAAAUCCGAAAGGUGAGAAAAGAGAAAGGGAAGGAGCUCACGUUAGGCUUGUAUAAGGUUUGAAUAGAAAAAAUGCAUUAAUGGAGGGAAAAAAGCUUUCAC